rnacentral:rRNA from 1 species
UGCCAGACUCCUACGGGAGGCAGCAGUGGGGAAUAUUGCACAAUGGGGGAAACCCUGAUGCAGCGACGCCGCGUGAGCGAUGAAGUAUUUCGGUAUGUAAAGCUCUAUCAGCAGGGAAGAAAAUGACGGUACCUGACUAAGAAGCCCCGGCUAACUACGUGCCAGCAGCCGCGGUAAUACGUAGGGGGCAAGCGUUAUCCGGAUUUACUGGGUGUAAAGGGAGCGUAGACGGCAAUGCAAGCCAGAUGUGAAAGCCCGGGGCUCAACCCCGGGACUGCAUUUGGAACUGUGUAGCUGGAGUGUCGGAGAGGCAGGCGGAAUUCCUAGUGUAGCGGUGAAAUGCGUAGAUAUUAGGAGGAACACCAGUGGCGAAGGCGGCCUGCUGGACAGUAACUGACGUUGAGGCUCGAAAGCGUGGGGAGCAAACAGGAUUAGAUACCCGUGUAA